UUCCAGGACAUAGUCGAUGUUCAAGAAAGGACAAGAGCCACCGUCGCAAGAAUAACAAAAUGUUCUUGCUGUGGAUUUCUUUCUACUGUGAUUGCUGAAAUCAAGGUGUUAGAUGUAAGCCUCCUUCCUGUUCUGGAAAGUGACUAAUUCUGUGAAGAAUGCCCAGGAAGGAAGAAAAGAUUCUUCGGGGAUAUUACAACAAAUCCAUGGUAUUUCGAUGCUAACACCCUUGAGACAAGGAGAGACAAAGGCAGAACAAAUGCACGGCCUAACAUGACCUGUUCCAGCAAAGGAGAGGGAGGAAGUCUGAGAGAACUAACUGGGUGUCAAGUGUUAAACAAAUAAUAGUAUUGGAACACACAUUUGGCUAAGCUGGAAGUUUUCACCACAGAAGAUCAAUUCAGAAGCUAUAGGUGAUAUCGUCUAUCUAUCCUUUCCAGGCAGUCUCUACAGGAAUUCCCAGGCAUAAUGUGAAUGCCCAAAGUCCACAAAGGAACAGAAUUAAGACCAAGAUUGACAAGAUGUUCUCUGGUAUAAAUACAGAUGAAGCAUUGGGUGGAAGUUCAAAUCUGCACGGAAGCAAGUAGAAUUCGGAUACGUCACAUCAGACAACCCCAGAGAACUCAGCUCCCCCAUAGACCUGAAUUAUUUGUAUACAGAUAAAAGAAAAUGCAAUCUGUCUUCCCUGCAUCAGAAAAAUCUACCUGCCUGUGGGUGGCUGCAGCCCCAAGGCUGAGAGCAUCUCCUUACCACAUCAGCAGCAGUUAAGCAGCAGCAGUAGACUGGCCAGCUGUGUGGCUUCCCAGGAUGGGCAAGCAAGAAAUCAUCCUGGUAACGGAACUUCUCUGGUCCACAUGCAAUAAAAAUGUCAUCGUCACCAAAAAAGUCCUGAAGGCACAUCACCUACAAGAGAAAAGCAUAGUUCUCAGCCAGGGGUCCACACAACAGCGAUCACAACACCACCUCCCCCCCCCCAGACUUCUCCAUAAAGCCAUUUUCCUCUAAUGGAAUCAACAGGGGGAUUUCAAAGGCUCGGCUGUGCAUCUGUUAUCCAGUAAGGAACGAGUUAGUCUCAGGUCUGCAGGAAGGCAGAGAAGGCGACUGGGUGGGUAACUGUCACAUUUAUGACUGGAAACAUCAACAGGCUAUGAGGUAAGAGCUCUUUGUUUCCACAACAUUGGGCAUUCAGCUACUCGGACCCCGGAGUGCCACCCCCUCCCCCCAGCUUCUGAAUGUAAGUCCCAAAAGCAAGGAGAGCCAGUGCACGGAUUUAACUGAGGACAUGCUUCUGUUGGUAAUUAACAGCACUACAUGUUCACAACAACCACUGAGAAAAAACAGCAUAGUAUUAUAACUUGUAGGCCCAGUCCAUCUCUAGUUGAAAUAAACUGAAACCCUUAUAAGAGGAAGAGCCG
ensembl:antisense Gm42609 predicted gene 42609